rnacentral:rRNA from 1 species
UGCCAGCCGCCGCGGUAAUACGAGGGGUGCAAGCGUUGUCCGGAAUCACUGGGCGUAAAGGGUCCGUAGGCGUCUUAAAAAGUCAUUUGUUAAAUACACCGGCUUAACCGGUGACCUGCAUUUGAAACUUUUAAGAUAGAGUAUAGGAGAGGAAAGUGGAAUUCCUGGUGUAGCGGUGACAUGCGUAGAUAUCAGGAGGAACACCAAUGGCGAAGGCAACUUUCUGGCCUAUUACUGACGCUGAGGGACGAAAGCGUGGGGAGCGAACAGGAUUAGAUA